AUGAACGCUGGCGGCGUGCCUAAUACAUGCAAGUCGAGCGAACAGACGAGGAGCUUGCUCGUCUGACGUUAGCGGCGGACGGGUGAGUAACACGUGGAUAACCUACCUAUAAGACUGGGAUAACUUCGGGAAACCGGAGCUAAUACCGGAUAAUAUAUUGAACCGCAUGGUUCAAUAGUGAAAGACGGUUUUGCUGUCACUUAUAGAUGGAUCCGCGCCGCAUUAGCUAGUUGGUAAGGUAACGGCUUACCAAGGCAACGAUGCGUAGCCGACCUGAGAGGGUGAUCGGCCACACUGGAACUGAGACACGGUCCAGACUCCUACGGGAGGCAGCAGUAGGGAAUCUUCCGCAAUGGGCGAAAGCCUGACGGAGCAACGCCGCGUGAGUGAUGAAGGUCUUCGGAUCGUAAAACUCUGUUAUUAGGGAAGAACAAAUGUGUAAGUAACUAUGCACGUCUUGACGGUACCUAAUCAGAAAGCCACGGCUAACUACGU
rnacentral:rRNA from 1 species